GCAAAAACAGAUAAGGGCAGACGGUGGAUGCCUUGGCUCUCGGAGGCGACGAAGGACGUGAUAAGCUGCGAUAAGCUACGGGGAUCGGCACAUACGAAUUGAUCCGUAGAUUUCCGAAUGGGGCAACCCGGCAUGUAGAAGACAUGUCACACUGCAGAGCAGUGAGCGAACGUGGGGAACUGAAACAUCUAAGUACCCAUAGGAGAAGAAAACAAAAGUGAUUCCCUUAGUAGUGGCGAGCGAACGGGGA
rfam:Porphyromonas sp. oral taxon 279 str. F0450 ctg120007683472, whole genome shotgun sequence.